rnacentral:rRNA from 1 species
AAUCAACGCUGGCGGCGUGCCUAACACAUGCAAGUCGAACGCGAAAGCCCGCAAGGGUAAGUAGAGUGGCGCACGGGUGAGUAACACGUGGACAACCUGCCUUCGAGUGGGGAAUAACCUUCCGAAAGGAGGGCUAAUACCGCAUAACACCUCGGGACACAAGUCUUGGGGUUGAAAAGAGCAAUUUGCUCGAAGAGGGGUCCGCGCCUGAUUAGCUAGUUGGUGAGGUAACGGCUCACCAAGGCUUCGAUCAGUAGCCGUCCUGAGAGGGAGCACGGCCACACUGGAACUGAGACACGGUCCAGACUCCUACGGGAGGCAGCAGUGGGGAAUUUUUGGCAAU